UACAGAGGGUGCGAGCGUUGUCCGGAAUCACUGGGCGUAAAGGGCGCGUAGGCGGCUUGAUAAGCGUGCGGUGAAAGCCCGGGGCUCAACCCCGGGUCGGCCGUGCGAACUGUCGAGCUGGAGCACUGUAGAGGCAGGUGGAAUUCCGGGUGUAGCGGUGGAAUGCGUAGAGAUCCGGAAGAACACCGGUAGCGAAGGCGGCCUGCUGGGCAGUGGCUGACGCUGAGGCGCGACAGCGUGGGGAGCAAACAGG
rnacentral:rRNA from 1 species